GCUUACGGCCAUACCACCCUGAGCACCCUCGAUCUCGUCUGAUCUUGGAAGCUAAGCAGAGUCGGGCCUGGUUAGUACUUGGAUGGGAGACCGCCUGGGAAUACCAGGUGCUCUAAGCU
rnacentral:rRNA from 1 species